rnacentral:rRNA from 1 species
AUUGAACGCUGGCGGCAGGCCUAACACAUGCAAGUCGAACGGGUGGCGGACGGGUGAGUAAUGUCUGGGAAACUGCCCGAGGGAGGGGGAUAACUACCGGAAACGGUAGCUAAUACCGCCUACCAUCGGAUGUGCCCAAUUGGGAUUAGCUAGUGGGUGGGGUAACGGCUCACCUAGGCGACGAUCCCUAGCUGGUCUGAGAGGAUGACCAGGCACACUGGAACUGAGACACGGUCCAGACUCCGACGGGAGGCAGCAGUGGGGAAUAUUGGACAAUGGGCGAAAGCCUGAUACAGCCAUGCCGCGUGUAUGAAGAAGGUCUUCGGGUUGUAAAGUACUUUAAGCUAGGAGGCGUUACCAGCAGAAGAAGCACCGGCUAACUCCGUGCCAGCAGCCGCGGUAAUUC